rnacentral:rRNA from 1 species
UACAGAGGGUGCGAGCGUUAAUCGGAAUUACUGGGCGUAAAGCGUGCGCAGGCGGUUUGUUAAGUCUGCUGUGAAAUCCCCGAGCUCAACUUGGGAAUUGCAGUGGAUACUGGCAAGCUGGAGUAUGGUAGAGGAAGGUGGAAUUCCCGGUGUAGCAGUGAAAUGCGUAGAGAUCGGGAGGAACACCAGUGGCGAAGGCGGCCUUCUGGACCAAUACUGACGCUCAUGCACGAAAGCGUGGGGAGCAAACAGG